UGCUAUCUGUUGAUUUGUCAAAUAGAAUAUCCCUUUGUUUAAAUGUUAGCUGGAGUUGUGUUAUUGCUCUGGGAGACAAUAAUCCAGAGGGGAAUUAAUUUUACAAAGAGGACUUCAGUCUCGUUAAAGGGACAUUGGUUGGAUGAGUCACCUGCCUAAUACCACCCCAGAUCUGCAAACCGAGGCAGAAAUGAUCAAUGACUUGCCCAAGGUCACAGAAGGUCAGUAUCAAGAUAAGAAGUUGGAAGCAGGACUGCUAGCUGGAGACUUUGCAGACUGAUAAACACAAGCCUUUGAAGCAAAGUGAAAGAUUCGGGGCUGGAAUAGCUCCCCACACUUCACAGCAAGGAAUGCCCAGGAGCACCAUGAUCAUCUCUUCUGUGUCCCUGAAUAUCAUUUCCCUCAGCAACACAGGGCAGCAACAUCUGAAUGGUGUGUGUGAUGGCUUACUCCAUUAUCCUGCAAAGAGAGCCCAAUGAAAGGCAUUGGAGAGGUGAACAGGGGUCCAGGUGCAUGACGGAUGUAUCACUGCUCCCGACCAACUGAGCUCCGUCAGCCACCAGUGGCUGUGCUCCUGAUGUACAUCUGCAAUGCCCUUCUGACCGUGCGCAGGAGGGGAAAUUUGGCUACAAUACCAGGCAAGACCAAACUCUUCUGAAGAGUUCCGUCGCAUCUACACACAAAACAGGCAGGAUUUCAGUUGUCUCUCAAUCCAAAGCCCACCGACGUUAAAGGGGGUCUGUCUGUUCGUUCGCUCCGAUGAACUUUGGAUCAGGCUUUUGCUCAGAUCUCACUUGAAAGGCUCCCACACAGUGAAUCACAGGAAACUCAAUUGAUUUAUCUUGGAAGGAUGAAGAGCCGUGUCCGUCUGCUUGGCUUGGAACUUGUGGAUUCAGAGAGUCUGUGUAGUUCGAUGACCACCAAGCUGCCCCCUUCGGCGCUAGGAUGAAUGCAACGUGGACUUUCAGUGAGGUACAGUUCAGAGGUAUGAAGAGUGCUGCAACCUUGCCAGGACUCCAGCUAUUUUUCAUUCUCUCCAGUGGGACUUUUCUGUGGUAGCUUCCCAUUGAGAGAGACCUGUGAAAACCAGAACAGGGCUGGAAAAGAAGGAACAAGGCUCUGGCUUAUGUAACUUGGAGCAAUGAAGUUGUAGGAUCUGCCAAGGUGCAGCAAAAGCUCUUUCCAGUCCUUUCUCCCCACUGUGUCACCACAGCUCCACUUUGGUGUGGGGUGGGGUGCACGCGUCCUGCCUCCCAGCUAGCCUCCUUCUUUCAUACCUAGCGGCCUUCUUUGCACCUCCCUGCUGUGCCAGUCAAAGAUCCUGCCACAGGUGGCAUGUUUCUCAGCCUGUUUUAGUUUCUGAAACAAGCAGCAACGGGGAAUCCAAAAAUUCUGUGAAAGAGCUUGAUUUCCCAGAAGGAUUGCUGCCUCCAUUUCCCAAAGGGGCUGGAAUGAGAGAGGCCUCUGGGUUCAGACCAGGAACCUUCUUGUAAAAACAAGAAAAUAAAACAAAACAAAAAAACUUUAAAAAAAUCAAUGGGUGGAAACCUGAACUUUAAAUUAACAGCACUGAAUUAUGUAUGUUUUUAGCUCUGCGUGUAGAAGACCCAAGCAAGUUGUUUAAUCCUGCAGCUGAAGCGUGGAAAUGACAGACACACAAUUUUGCUUUUAUUUUUUCCUUAAGCUGGAUGAGUAGCACAUGGUAACGAAGUCGGAAUGCAGACAGCGCUGCCAUUCUGCAUUAAAGUAGCGCCUCUGAACUCCACAUGAGUUAUGGGCAGGCCUUCAGAGGACUACUGGAUUUUGCAGUUUAUCAAGUAUGGGUGGGAGGGGAGGGGAAGCCUCAGCUGAGUAGUGGUGGAAAAAGAAUGAAAAGCCAGCCACCUUGAGUCUGUCUCUAAAUGCAUGACCGUGGAGUCCAGAAGCCACAUGGGUAUAAAUCUCUUCUAUAAAGAGGUAGAUAUGUCUCAGCUGGAGGAAACUUAGCAGUAAAGCAAUGAGUGUUGAGCAGAAUCAGGUUUAUUAUGGGGAAUUAUACCUUUCCAGUAAUCCAAAGCACCAAAUUAUAAAAGACCUCUUCUACCCCCCUCAAAAGCAUGAAGGUUAAAACAGUACGAAAACCUCAGCCCUCUCCCCAUCUGUCCAGGUAACCUACCUCAGGUUUCUGUUUCCCCCCUGGCUUUCUCAGGUUAUGAUCUGAAAAGGGCCUAUAAGGUGAAGAGGAGGAGUAUUGCCAUCAGGUGAGAUUUACAGCAUUACCCAGUAAAACCUGCACUACUUGAGCAAAAUGAAAGAAUGCUUUUUCCAGCCAGGCACACUGGCUAAAUUGCGGUUUCAGUAAAUUAAGCAGAAUGCUGAUGAAAAAUUUAAUGUGGUAGUAAUCUGGCUAUUCUGACAGUCAGCAAAGUCUACAAUGACCCUUGAAAAAUUCUUCCGUUUUGAUAUCCUUGUAUGGCACUGCAAUAUGGUCACAUCUGCUACACUGUAUGCUCUGCACUACAUAUUGAUGAUUACAAUAAAAUG